AUUAGAUACCCCGGUAGUCCCAGCUGUAAAUAAUGCGGACUGUGGUCUUGCUUCAGAGUUAAUCUGCAGCAGUGCUGUAGCGUAGGUGUUAAGUCCGCCGCCUGGGGAGUACGGCCGCAAGGUUGAAACUUAAAGGAAUUGGCGGGGGAGCACCACAAGGGGUGGAUGCUACGGUUUAAUUGGAUACAACGCCGUGAACUUCACCAAGGGCGACGGCAGAAUGAAGGCCAGACUAAAGAUCUUGCCUAACAAGCCGAGAGGUGUUGCAUGGCCAUCGUCAGCUCGUGGCGUGAGUUGUCUGGUUAAGUCCAGCAACGAGCGAGACCCAUACCAUUAAUUGCUACUUUUACCUUUAGUAAGAGGCACCUUAAUGGGGCUGCCCGCGUUAAGUGGGAGGAAGGAGUGGGCGACGGUAGGUCAGUAUGGCCCGAAUCCCUUGGGCUACACGCGGCAUACAAUGGCUGGAACAAUGGGUUGCUACUCCGAAAGGAGGCGCUAAUCCCCUAAAUCCAGUCUUAGUUCGGAUUGAGGGUUGAAACUCACCCUCAUGAAGCUGGAAUCCCUAGUAAUCGCGUGUCAUCAUCGCGCGGUGAUACGUCCCCGCUCCUUGCACACACCGCC
rnacentral:rRNA from 1 species